UAGGGAAUCUUCCACAAUGGACGCAAGUCUGAUGGAGCAACGCCGCGUGAGUGAAGAAGGGUUUCGGCUCGUAAAGCUCUGUUGGUAGUGAAGAAAGAUAGAGGUAGUAACUGGCCUUUAUUUGACGGUAAUUACUUAGAAAGCCACGGCUAACUACGUGCCAGCAGCCGCGGUAAUACGUAGGUGGCAAGCGUUGUCCGGAUUUAUUGGGCGUAAAGCGAGUGCAGGCGGUUCAAUAAGUCUGAUGUGAAAGCCUUCGGCUCAACCGGAGAAUUGCAUCAGAAACUGUUGAACUUGAGCGCAGAAGAGGAGAGUGGAACUCCAUGUGUAGCGGUGGAAUGCGUAGAUAUAUGGAAGAACACCAGUGGCGAAGGCGGCUCUCUGGUCUGCAACUGACGCUGAGGCUCGAAAGCAUGGGUAGCGAACAGGAUUAGAUACCCUGGUAGUCCAUGCCGUAAACGAUGAGUGCUAAGUGUUGGGAGGUUUCCGCCUCUCAGUGCUGCAGCUAACGCAUUAAGCACUCCGCCUGGGGAGUACGACCGCAAGGUUGAAACUCAAAGGAAUUGACGGGGGCCCGCACAAGCGGUGGAGCAUGUGGUUUAAUUCGAAGCAACGCGAAGAACCUUACCAGGUCUUGACAUCCAGUGCAAACCUAAGAGAUUAGGAGUUCCCUUCGGGGACGCUGAGACAGGUGGUGCAUGGCUGUCGUCAGCUCGUGUCGUGAGAUGUUGGGUUAAGUCCCGCAACGAGCGCAACCCUUGCCAUUAGUUGCCAUCAUUAAGUUGGGCACUCUAAUGAGACUGCCGGUGACAAACCGGAGGAAGGUGGGGAUGACGUCAAGUCAUCAUGCCCCUUAUGACCUGGGCUACACACGUGCUACAAUGGACGGUACAACGAGAAGCGAACCUGCGAAGGCAAGCGGAUCUCUGAAAGCCGUUCUCAGUUCGGACUGUAGGCUGCAACUCGCCUACACGAAGCUGGAAUCGCUAGUAAUCGCGGAUCAGCACGCCGCGGUGAAUACGUUCCCGGGCCU
rnacentral:rRNA from 1 species